UACGUAGGGGGCUAGCGUUGUCCGGAAUCAUUGGGCGUAAAGAGCGUGUAGGCGGCCCGGUAAGUCCGCUGUGAAAGUCGGGGGCUCAACCCUCGAAUGCCGGUGGAUACUGUCGGGCUAGAGUGCGGAAGAGGCGAGUGGAAUUCCUGGUGUAGCGGUGAAAUGCGCAGAGAUGUGGAGGAACACCGAUGGCGAAGGCAGCCCCCUGGGUCAAGACUGACGCUCAUGCACGAAAGCGUGGUGAGCAAACAGG
rnacentral:rRNA from 1 species